GUCCGGGUUCGCCACGGGCUCCUCUUUUUCCUUCUUCCCCAGCAGGGCCAGGGGGACCUUGAACUCCAGCAGGGCCCUGGAGUGGGCAGAGAAAGAGAGUGAGUGGCCUUGAUGCGUGCUUCCCCCAGAAGGGGGCGCACUGGAGCGAGUGCGUGAGUUGCGCAGAAGGGAGAGUUUUGUACUUACGCUGUUACCCUUGGGACCUGGAGCGCCGCUGGGGCCCUGGGGUCCAGAGGGGCCUCGGGCACCAGGGAAGCCAGGAGCACCAGCAAUACCAGGAGCACCCUGCAGGAGGGAGGCCAGCUGUUCCAGGCAAUCCCCGAGCACCCUGGAAAGAAUGACAAAUAAGGACUUGGAAAUGUGUCAGAAGGGCUCUGUGACCACGGCUCCUAAAUGCAUCCCCAGUGCAGUCUGGAGUCCCAAAGGUGGCCUUUACCUCCCCAGCUAUCUGUAUACCAGCCCCUAACAGGACCAUCAUUGUCCUUUCUCUUCUGAACCCCCAUCCUCUCUGUCAUCACUGCUCCCCCU